GAUGAACGCUGGCGGCGUGCUUAACACAUGCAAGUCGAGCGAGAAUUUUUAAUCGGAAGCUUCGGCCGAAGAUUAAAAAGGAAAGCGGCGGACGGGUGAGUAACGCGUGGGUAACCUGCCUAUAAGACUGGGAUAACUUCGGGAAACCGGAGCUAAUACCGGAUAAUUCUUUUCUACACAUGUAGGAAAGCUAAAAGACGGUUUACGCUGUCACUUAUAGAUGGGCCCGCGGCGCAUUAGCUAGUUGGUGAGGUAACGGCUCACCAAGGCCACGAUGCGUAGCCGACCUGAGAGGGUGAUCGGCCACACUGGGACUGAGACACGGCCCAGACUCCUACGGGAGGCAG
rnacentral:rRNA from 1 species